rnacentral:lncRNA from 1 species
GUACCACUACAAAGCUUUGUGUUCGGUACCCGUGUGUUGUCAUUGAUUGACAUUUCAACAUUAUACAAAGCCCAGUUUUCAGUUUUAAUUAGAGCAGUGGUGGGGUAACCAUCUGGUUAAAGUGUUAGCUUGUUAUAGCAAAAGCCACAGGUUUGGAUCCCCACUUUUCAAUGUGUGAAGCCCGUUUCUCACGUCCGUUUCCAUGAUGUUGCUGAAAUAUUUUGCUGAAAGCGGAAUAAAACCACUCUCAUAUUAGUGGAGGGCCUUUAAAACUGACAAGACGGAAUCAAUAAUUCCAUCAUGUUGACAUCAAGACUCUUAAAUAAGUACAUAUUAAGAUUUCAGAAGUGUUCAAAUGACUGAUAUUGUCCCUUUCUAUAUUCAGUUGAAGGUCACAAAAUAUUCAGCUGUGAAACAAUAACAGCUAUAAUCUAGAUGGUAGCCUUGUUUUCAAAUUGAAACAUGAUUUCUGUUAUUUAUAUUUGUGUAUUUGGAUAUGUAAUGUCCAGACCAAUGGUUUAUGAAUGCAAUGCAAACAUAAUAUAGUAAUAUUGUCCCAUUCUAGUCAGAGUUAGGGAGCUGUUUGAAAACAUGAGGAUAAAGAUGUAAUGCCUUAAGUUUUCAGAUAUUUAAACACAGGUACACAAUACAGCUGAAUACAUAUCACACCUUAAGACCCCACAGCCCCCACCACAUGUACACAUCACCACUCUCUUCACACCACACCACACCACUCUCGACACACCACAAAACACAACCACUCCACUCCAUUCCACACUGUAAACAUUUGGAGUUAAGGUGAUUAUAACAGCUGCUCCUGCAUAUAUUGGAUUGUAAUAAGCAUAUUGUCUGAGAAUCAUGUAAAGGUGCAUUAGAUAAUACUCAUACAUCAUCUCAUGUGAUCUGUAUCCUCCACACCAACGGUGUACAUAUUAUCUUCUUUGAGAGGCAUUUUUAGAAGUUCUAUAGAUAUAGGAAUGACAAGUCUUUGUGGAUGAUCAACUUCUUUAUUGUGCAAUAGCGACGUUUCGGUAUAGACACUUAUACUGUUUUCUCUACAGAAACAUUGCUAUUGCACAAUAAAGAAGUUGAUCAUCCAUAAAGACUUGUUAUUCCUGCACUUGUCUUGUUAUUAUUUCAUGAUAUUCCAACAACACUUUAGUACAUGUAGUUAACACACAAUCACACACAUAUUGAAGAAUGUCAUGUGUAAUAGACUGGGGCCAUUGGGUCGCUGAUAUUUCAGUGGAGUCUUGUGAUUGUGAUACCUGAGUGAUCGAUGAUAACCUUCGAGAUGCACCUGGGAUGACUUAUGAUAAACUUGGAGAUAAACAUGGAAUGACUUGUGAUAAACUUUCAGAUGAACUUAUGAUAAACAUUGAAAUAAAUCUGUGAAGAAAUGGAUAUAUUCCCAUCUUUUCUUGUGUAAAAUGUCCAUCUGUAUCUGUUUGGGUUAUUUUGUGGAUAAAAAAUGUCCUCUUCAAAUGAAGUCUUUGCUUGAGUGAGAGAAUAAACUGUCAGAUUCUCAUUGUUACUGUAUAUAUUGAGAUGGAAGAUACAAGACAUUGUACAUCUGCUUCACUGGCAUCUUUAUUUCUAUUUUUCCUGUUU